ensembl:lncRNA
GCUGCAGGAGUCUGUAAUGUGAUGUGACCGUGAUAACGACAGUGAGGGGAGGCUGCAGGAGUCUAAUGUGACCGUGAUAACGACAGUGAGGGGAGUCUGCAGGAGUCUGUAAUGUGAUGUGACCGUGAUAACGACAGUGAGGGGAGUCUGCAGGAGUCUGUAAUGUAAUGUGACCGUGAUAACGACAGUGAGGGGAGGCUGCAGGAGUCUAAUGUGACCGUGAUAACGACAGUGAGGGGAGUCUGCAGGAGUCUGUAAUGUGAUGUGACCGUGAUAACGACAGUGAGGGGAGGCUGCAGGAGUCUGUAAUGUGAUGUGACCGUGAUAACGACAGUGAGGGGAGGCUGCAGGAGUCUAAUGUGACCGUGAUAACGACAGUGAGGGGAGGCUGCAGGACUCUGUAAUGUGACCGUGAUAACGACAGUGAGGGGAGGCUGCAGGAGUCUAAUGUGAUGUGACCGUGAUAACGACAGUGAGGGGAGUCUGCAGGAGUCUGUAAUGUGACCGUGAUAACGACAGUGAGGGGAGGCUGCAGGAGUCUAAUGUGACCGUGAUAACGACAGUGAGGGGAGGCUGCAGGAGUCUAAUGUGACCGUGAUAACGACAGGGAGGGGAGGCUUACAGUGAGGGGAGGCUGCAGGAGUCUGUAAUGUAAUGUGACCGUGAUAACGACAGUGAGGGGAGGCUGCAGGAGUCUAAUGUGACCGUGAUAACGACAGUGAGGGGAGUCUGCAGGAGUCUGUAAUGUGACCGUGAUAACGACAGUGAGGGGAGGCUGCAGGAGUCUAAUGUGACCGUGAUAACGACAGUGAGGGGAGGCUGCAGGAGUCUGUAAUGUGACCGUGAUAACGACAGUGAGCGGAGGCUGCAGGAGUCUGUAAUGUGAUAUGACCGUGAUAACGACAGUGAGGGAAGGCUGCAGGAGUCUGUAAUGUGAUAUGACCGUGAUAACGACAGUGAGGGAAGGCUGCAGGAGUCUGUAAUGUGACCGUGAUAAUGACAGUGAGGGGAGGCUGCAGGAGUCUGUAAUGUGACCGUGAUAAUGACAGUGAGGGGAGGCUGCAGGAGUCUGUAAUGUGACCGUGAUAACGACAGUGAGGGGAGG